CCUACGGGAGGCUGCAGUGAGGAAUAUUGGUCAAUGGACGCAAGUCUGAACCAGCCAUGCCGCGUGCAGGAAGACGGCUCUAUGAGUUGUAAACUGCUUUUGUGCGAGGGUAAACGCAGAUACGCGUAUCUGUUUGAAAGUAUCGUACGAAUAAGGAUCGGCUAACUCCGUGCCAGCAGCCGCGGUAAUACGGAGGAUUCAAGCGUUAUCCGGAUUUAUUGGGUUUAAAGGGUGCGUAGGCGGUAGGUUAAGUUAGAGGUGAAAUCCCGAGGCUCAACUUCGGAAUUGCCUCUGAUACUGGUCGGCUAGAGAGUAGUGGCGGUAGGCGGAA
rnacentral:rRNA from 1 species